rnacentral:lncRNA from 1 species
UAACUAAUAGCAUGCUAAAAGAUUGCAAUUUGCUAUUGUCUUAAAGUCCUCAAGAUUAUAUUUAAUAAUUCAGUUACACAACAUGAUGAGUACUACACGCUUGCUUUGAUGUUUGUUGAUCUUCUUCAUUUCAAUAUUAAAUCGAUAUCAUUAUAUGUGGUUUCCAUCGCGUACUAAAGAUUCGACUCUUUCUAUGGAUGUCACAGUUUUAUUUACUU